rnacentral:lncRNA from 1 species
UUUGAAAUCCUUCUCUUUAUCGGGUACCCUUGAAGUGUGGUACUUGACUGAUAGCAAUAGGCUUUCGUUUUCGGAACCUGUUCAUCACAUUUGGCCAAUAGAUAAUACGGGGUUUCCAUACCGGCCUUUCGACCUCAGGUAUUAGCCGUAUUUCAUUUCUUUAAUUGUGGGUUUUCCAUACUGGUCUUUCGACCUCAGGUAUUUGCCACCAUGUGUUGGGUCCGCCGGUCCCUCCCGCGUCCCUUGCCUACCCGACCAUCAAUCAAGUACCAUACUCCCAUUUUCAAAACAUCUUCUUUCAUAUCGCUAUGACUCAUCAAUCAUUCAAACAUCAUGAAGAACACGUAGCAAAAGUCACAUUAAAGAACACAUAAUUAGGUUCUUAUGAUGAGCAAAUGAAAGCUUCAACUUACCUCAAAAUCAAUAUGGUUUGUGAAGUAAAAGGAUCAGUCUUAGAUAAGGUGUGCUAAAAGCCUUGAUUACAGAUGAAUUCAAACUUCAAAACAUAGGAUUUUCAGCUAGAAAAGGUGAAGAACUUGUUCUAGCUAUACUUUUAUGAGUUCUUAGGGUUUGAUAUUCUCUUAUGUGAAUAUGGAAGUGAAGAAAUAAGAAGAGAAGCUUAAGUGAAUAGGUCUGGUCGUUUUGGAAGAAGACAAAUGAAAAUGAAGACCAAAACACAAAGUCUUCACUUAUCUACCCAUUCCCAACAAGGCCAAAUGGAGGGUGGUGAUUGGAAGGCUUGUAUUUGUUGGAUUCUUGUGGUUCCUCCACAUUUUUCUAGCUUGAGAUAAGAUAUGGGCUGAUGCUUACUCAUUAUAAUCAAGUGUAAACAAUUUGAGAAUGGUCUUGUGCAACCUAGUCAACCAACCAAUCAAAUUGCACCCUUUUGCAUACUUUGGUUUUAGUCUAAUAUGAGUUACUUCAAGUAAUUACAUAUGUAAUUAAUCAUAUAAAAAUGUAAUUAAAAUGCAGAACUGCAAUUAAGACAAAUAUAUCAGCGUUUAGCACAUUUUAAGAAAAGUAUUCGAUCACGUAUUAAAAACACAAUUAAGGUACAUGUGUAGCAAGUAGUCGUGAUCAUGCAUCAUGAAUAAUGAAUUAUAACUAUAUGCAUUGAUGCAAUAUGCUUAUUAUUGGCCAUGUACGGAUUAUUGGGCAUUACAAUCCUUCCCUCCUUAUAAAAUUUCGCCCUCAAAAUUUGACGUACCGAACAAUUCUGGAUAUUUGCUAUGCAUUUCUUCCUCUCUUUCCCACGUGGAUUCUUCAAUAGAUUGAUUUCUCCACAAUACCUUAACUAAUGGAAUCUUUUUAUUUCUCAGCUCCUUGACUUUUCGAUCAAUAAUUUGAAUUGGUUUCUCCUCAUAAGACAAAUCUGCAGAAAACUCUAACGGUUCAUAACUCAACACAUGAGAGGGAUUUGAAAUGUACUUCUUCAACAUAGACACAUGGAAAACAUUGUGAACACCAGAUAAUGAAGGAGGUAAGGCUACUCUAUAUGCUCUAUCACCAACUCUUUCAAGGAUUUCAAACGGACCAACAUAUCUUGGACUAAGUUUUCCUUUCUUUCCAAAUCUCAUGAUGCCUUUCAAUGGAGCCACUUUCAAAAAUACAUGGUCGCCAACUGUAAACUCUAGAUCUCUUCUUCGUUUAUCUGCAUAGCUUUUCUGUCUACUCUGUGCCAUCUUCAUUCUUUCCCUUAUCUUCUGUACCGUCUCAGCUGUAUGUUGCACCAUCUCUGGCCCAAGUAGACUUCUUUCGCCAACUUCAUCCCAAUGAACUGGAGAUCUACAUUUUCUCCCAUAUAGUGCUUCAUAAGGUGCCAUUCCAAUUGUAGAUUGAUAACUGUUAUUGUAAGUGAACUCUACCAAUGGAAGUUUUUCAUCCCAGCUCCCUUUCAAAUCUAGAACACAAGCUCUUAACAUAUCCUCAAGUAUUUGAAUAACUCUCUCGGAUUGUCCAUUAGUCUGUGGAUGAAAUGUUGUACUAAAUGCAAGCUUUGUCCCCAUAGCAUUGUGCAAACUCUUCCAAAAUGCAGAAGUAAACUUCGGAUCUCUAUCAGACACUAUUGACACUGGCACUCCAUGCAAUAACUACCUCUUUAAUAUAUUGUUGUGCAUAUUGCUCCAUGUUGAAUGUGGACUUCACUUAAAGAAAAUGGGUUGAUUUAGUUAGUCUAUCAACAAUCACCCAUAUGGAAUUGUUUCCCCUUUGUGUUCUAGGCAAUCCAAGCACAAAAUCCAUUGUAAUAUGCUCCCAUUUCCACUCUGGAAUCAGUAAAGGUUUCAAUAGUCCUGCUGGUCUUUGAUGUUCCAUUUUAACUUGUUGACAAGUGAGGCAUUCAGCCACAAACUUUGCUAUAUCUUUCUUCAUGUUAGGCCACCAGUAGUGUAGUUGUAAGUCUUUGUACAUUUUUGUGCUGCCCGGGUGCACUGAGUAAGGACUUCUGUGAGCUUCUUCCAAAAUGUCGCCCUUUAUGUUAGCAUCAAAAGGAACACACAAUCUGCCUUUAUAUCUAAUUAUUUCAUCGUUACCAAUAGAGAAGUUCGGCCUCUUCUUAGCAUCAAUCAUACUUCGCAACCUGGACAAAUACUUAUCCACUUUCUGGGCCUCUUUGAUUCGGUCAUGCAAUACGGGUUUUAAUACUAAAGAUGAUAAAGAACUAACCGUCCCUUUAGGUACAAUUUCAAGCUCUAACCUUUGUAAAUCCAGUAGUAUUGGUUUCUGUAUAACAAGGAAGGAAGACAUAGAUUUUCUACUCAAUGCAUCUGCAGCCACAUUAGCUUUACCAGGAUGAUAGUUAAUCAAACAGUCAUAAUCCUUCACAAGUUCUAACCAUCUUCGCUGUCUCAUAUUCAAUUCUUUCUGAGUGAAGAAGUACUUCAAGCUCUUGUGAUCCGUGUAAAUCUCACAUUUCUCACCAUAUAGGUAAUGCCUCCAAAUUUUCAAGGCAAACACAACGGCAGCAAGCUCUAAAUCAUGAGUUGGUUAAUUCUUCUCAUACUCCUUCAAUUGUCUUGAAGCAUAGGAGAUAACAUUCCCAUGCUGCAUCAAUACAGCACCCAAUCCAUUUUUUGAAGCAUCACUAUACACUACGAAUCCACCAGUUCCAGAAGGAAUGACGAGAACAGGAGCUGUAGUACAUCUCCGUUUCAACUCUUGAAAGCUACUUUCACAUGCAUCAGUCCAUACAUACUUCACGUUCUUUCGCGUAAGCAUUGUUAAUGGAGUUGCUAUCUUGGAAAACCCCUGAACAAAUCUUCGAUAAUAUGCUGCCAAUCCUAAGAAACUUCUAACCUCUGAUACAGUUGUUGGUGUUGGCCAAUUUUUGACAGCUUCUAUCUUACUCGGGUCGACAGAAAUACCAUUCUUGGACACGACAUGCCCUAGGAAUACAACUUGAUCAAGCCAAAACUCGCACUUCUUAAAUUUAGCAUAUAGUUGCCUUUCUUUCAAUAUUUGCAACACCACUCUCAAAUGUUCUCUAUGUUCGUCUUUAUCAUGGGAAUAGAUCAAUAUAUCAUCAAUGAACACAAUCACAAAUUUGUCGAGGAACUCCUUGAACACCCUAUUCAUCAAAUCCAUAAAAGAUGCGGGGGCAUUUUGUAACGCCCCACAACCUAACAGCAGAAUCCAAUCGGAUCACCACCAUUAAGUUAGGGAUGCUAACCUUUUACAUAUUUACUUGAACAUUAUGGUUUUAAUACAAAAAUAAAUAAUAUGCUUUGAAAAGAAAUCAAACUCUGUACUUUCUCGAAAUCUGUACAUAUAUAGAUAUAUAUUGUUUACAAAAUUACUUUGUACAACAACCAUAAUAGAGCGGCUAACAAAAUCAAAUCAGAGUUUCUAGCUCGGCUACAAAAAUGGCGCGAAGCAUGGCAUAUGAACAAAACUCUGUCUGGCCGCUCUUGGCUAGGUCAACUUCUAAACAUGUACAUCAUUACCUGCAUCAUAAGGACCUAAUGAGCUAAAAGCUCAGCAAGUUGUAACUGAUGUAAUAACAAUCUAUCACAUAACACGUUAUUCAUUCAAUAUGUACAAUAUCACAUAUAACUUCAUUCGUGAUCCUUUUCUUUGAAAUCCUUCUCUUUAUCGGGUACCCUUGAAGUGUGGUACUUGACUGAUAGCAAUAGCCUUUCGUUUUCGGAACCUGUUUAUCAUAUUUGGCCAAUAGAUAAUACGGGGGUUUCCAUACCAGCCUUUCGACCUCAGGUAUUAGCCGUAUUUCAUUUCUUUAAUUGUGGGUUUUCCAUACUGGUCUUUCGACCUCAGGUAUUUGCCACCAUGUGUUGGGUCCGCCGGUUCCUCCCGCGUCCCUUGCCUACUCGACCAUCAAUCAAGUACCAUACUCCCAAUUUCAAAACAUAUUCUUUCAUAUCACUAUGACCCAUCAACCAUUCAAACAUCAUCGAGAACACGUAGCAAAAGUCACAUUAAAGCACACAUAAUUAUGUUCUUAUGAUGAACAAAUGAAAGCUUCAACUUACCUCAAGUUCAAUAUGGUGUAUGAAGUGAAAAGAUCAGUCUCAUAUAGGGUGUGCUAGAAGCCUUGAUUAGAGAUGAAUUCAAACUUCGAAACAUAGGAUUUUCAGCUAGAAAAGGUGAAGAACUUGUUCUAGCUCUACUUCUACGAGUUCUUAUGGUUUGAUAUUCUCUUAUGUGAAUAUGGAAGUGAAGAAAUAUCAAGAGAAGCGUAAGGAAAUAGGUCUGGUCGGUUUUUGGAAGAAGACAAGUGAAAUGAAGACCAAAACACAAAGUCUUCACUCAUCUACCCAUUCCCAACAAGGCCAAAUGGAGGGUGGUGAUUGGAAGGCUUGUAUUUGCUGGAUUCUUGUGGUUCCUCCACGUUUUUCUUGCUUGAGAUAAGAUAUGGGCUGAUACUUACUCAUUAUAAUCAAGUGUAAACAAUUUGAGAAUGGUCUUGUGCAACCUAGUCAACCAACCAAUCAAAAUGCACCCUUUUGCAUACUUUUGGUUUUAGUCUAAUAUGAGUUACUUCAAGUAAUUACAUAUGUAAUUAAUCAUAUUAAAAUGUAAUUAAAAUGCAGAUAUGCAAUUAAGACAAAUAUAUCACCGUUUAGCACAUUGAUCCCUUUCUUAACCUAGAAACUGAGAUUCUCACUACAAUAAAUCACUCAAGUUCAUGUUAAUUCAUAAAGUAGAAGUUCAAUAACAUGUAUUAGCACAUUAUAAGAAAAGUAUUCGAUCACGUAUUAAAACACAAUUAAGGCACAUGUGUAGCUAGUAGUCGUGAUCAUGCAUCAUGCAUAAUGAAUUAUAACUAUAUGCAUUGAUGUAAUAUGCUUAUUAUUGGCUAUGUAUGGAUAAUUGGUGCUCCCCAAGGAGAAUAACUCGGCCGGAUAAGACCUUUAUGCAACAAGUCUUGUAGUUGAAUCUUCAACUCUUUUAGUUCUGUUGGUGCCAUUCUGUAUGGAGCUUUAGAAAUAGGAGUACUUCCGGGCAACGUAUCAAUAACAAAUUCAAUUUCACGAUCCGGUGGCAGUCCUGGUAAGUCAUCUGGAAAUACCUCAAGAAAUUGAUCAACCACAUCCACAUCUUGGGGUUUCAAUUGUGUUCCAACUGAAGUGUCCAUUGUUGGGUUUCGGGCACGCAUACGCAACGGAAAACAAAAAUUUUAUGCGAAUUAAACGACUUUAAAUCACAUAUGUACAUGCCCGACAAAUUAAAUCAAUUAAUUGCGUACCUUUGCGCUUCCAGCGAAAUUAAAAACAACAUACAUGCUAAAUAAUUUAACCGAAUUUAAAUCAAUUAACAUGCUCGCGUUUAAACCAAUUAACAUGCUUGCAAAGAUUAAAACGAUUACAUAUAAUCACAUAAAAUCAUACGAUAGCAAACAUGAAAUCAUAGUUUAAAUCUAAACGAACCGAAACUAGGGUUUCGUGUAUUUACCUCUUGAAGCGUGAGGUAGGAGCGUUUAGCAAGUCGAGAUUGCUACGGAAACCAAUCCGUACAAUCGAGGCAGCAGCAAUGCAGCGGCAGCAGCGGCAGAUCGGCACGGCGGCGCGUGUAUCUCACGCGCGGACUUCGAGGCGGCGCGUGUGUCGCGUGCGUCGUCGGCUUGAUGGCUGUUCUUCGAUUCUUCAAUCUUCCUCCUCUCGGAUUUCACCUCGUAUACUUCGAUCUACUAAAACGUGGCACUAGACACGAAGUAGUUAGAAUUAACGGAAGAAAAAAAAAGAAGAAAAGAGUACCGAAAAAGAUCGGCCAAUUGAUGGCCGAUUCCGGUCACGGCGGAGCGACGGCGGCGCGGUGGUGGCCGAUGGGAGAGAGGCCGAGAGAGAGAGAGUGUAGCGGCUAGGGUUAGGGUUGAGUUGUGUGUCUUGUGCAAGACCUAUAAAUCAAGUAUUUAUAUGUCUUGCAUAAAACCCUAGCGGGCUUAAGUUGGACCGGGCCCAACAACUUAAGUCCGAUAGUAUCUUUACUUGCUCGUCUCUCUUAAUUCAAUGACCGAAAAAUUGCAACGAUUACAUUUUCGGAUUCAUUAUAACUUCCUCGUCAUUACGAGUGCCAUCUCUCAUUUUCCAACUUUCCAAAAGUGGAAACCCUAGUUCAGUGCACUUUCUAAAUUUGGAAACUUCCCGAUUUAGAAAGUUCACUAAUACGUUCGCCUAUUCUUUUCAUAUAGUUAACGUACAGUACGGUCCCUUCGAUACAUAUGUCCCGAUCGAACUAGAGGCAUUGGUUCAUAGAGACCUCUUUAUAUGUUCGAUGACGGUGCGAUCGUUCCAAGUGUUGUAAUCCUUACGUGCAUGACUUAGAGAAUCAAAUUCUCUAAUCAUCACUUAGUCAGCUCUGGCCAGAGACUUAGAAUGAUUACAAACUUUCAGAACACACAGGACAUCCAAGACUAUUCUAGCGAUCGAAUCCCCGACUACAAUGCACAGACCUCCCACUAGAUUUCGGACUGCACGAACACUGGCCCUUGGGAUGGUCCUCGGUGGAACUCAGGGACAGGUCACGAUACAGCUGGUCCUCUAGUGAAGUCACGGUGAUGUCUAGGUCAUAAGGACUAAUGGUGUACAACUAUACCAUAGAUAUCUCUACUCGAUUAUUGGGAACCACUUAGAGAUUUCUAGGGUGAGGGAGUUCAGUGAACUCGUCAACUUACGAGCACCCACUUAUGCAUGCCGAUAUCACAAUACCGUUUACUGAUGAGAUGCAGUACACAUACACUAAGUGCUAGUCUUAAUGGGAAAGGCCGAUAUCCUCAUUGGUGGCGUAACCCUUCGACUAGGAACACGUUUAACAGUUAUAAUACUUAAGUAAAUAUCUCACGAUCCUAACGAUCAAUUACUAGUACUUGUAAUAACUGUAAGGACUAUAUCUAUGCUUGUGACAAAGGGACAAAGAUAUAGAAUGCCAAGAUGUUUUAUCAUUAAUACGAAUAAAGGUUCGUUUAUUACAAUAAUAAAUACGAAAGACCACAGCCACAAGUUGGCUUGUUGGUCACCUACUCUAACAAUCUCCCACUUGACCUAAAGCCAACUACCCAUAAAUCGCAAUCCCAUCGACUCUCGAUGUUUCUCAUGGACCGAUCUCGGUAAAGGCUUCGUGAAGGGGUCUGCAACGUUCUCUUCCGAGGUGACUCGUUCAACCUUAACUUCACCUCUAUCAAUGAUCUCUCGGAUCACGUGAUACUUCCUCAGAAUAUGCUUCGACUUCUGAUGAGAUCGUGGCUCCUUAGCUUGCGCCACGGCUCCGGUGUUAUCAAAGUACAACGGUACUGGAUCACUAGCAUCAGGAAUGACACCCAACUCUUGGAUGAAUUUCCUUAUCCAAGUCCCUUCUUUUGCAGCUUCGGACGCUGCAAUGUAUUCCGCUUCGGUAGUGGAAUCGGCCGUCGUGCUUUGCUUGGAACUCUUCCAACACACGGCACCACCAUUAAGCGUGAAUAUAAAUCCAGAAUUCGACUUUGAGUCGUCCACAUCCGAUUGAAAACUAGAGUCAGUAAAACCCUCUAAUUUCAACUCGGCACCCCCAUAGACCAAAAAUAUAUCCUUAGUUCUUCGCAAGUACUUGAGGAUAUCUUUCGAGGCUUUCCAGUGAGCCGGGCCGGGGUUAGACUGAUGCUUGUGACACUCACAGCAUACGCAAUAUCGGGUCUCGUACAUAGCAUGCCAUACAUUAUGCUUCAUAUGGCAGAAGCAUAGGGCGUCCUUUUCAUCUCCUCGAUUUCACUAGGUGUUUGCGGACACAUAGAUUUCGAGAGACGAACCCCAUGGGACAUUGGCAAGAAUCCCUUCUUGGAUUCUUCCAUGCUAAACCGUUUCAUAACGGUGUCUAUGUACAGGCUUUGGGAUAAGCCAAGCAUCUUCCUUGCUCUAUCUCUAUAGAUGCGUAUUGUUGGGUGCUAAAUACCAACACGCAAGUGCACGUAUCGCAAACAAGUAAUAAAGUGGACUCGUGAGAGUCGGAUGUCGAUCCCACAGGGAAUACGCAAAUUACCUAAUCCUAAGUACCAAAUUCUAACAAUUAUGAUUUUUAUCCAGCCUACGCAAGUUUGUCAAAUUAAAUCAAUUAAACAACUAAACUAAUAAAGAAAGCAAAUAACACAGGAAAAUAUCAAUUAAAACGGACCUAGGGUUUUAUCUUCCCCCUAUGCAAGAAUUGCUCACCCAAAACCCCUCAAUUAUGAAAUAUAUGAUUCAUGAUUAUUAACCCGAGACACUAAUUUACUCAUAACCCGCUGUCGCGUGUAUUAUGAGUCUAUUAUUCAUAAACGAUUCACUAUAUGUCUAUGCAAACCAAUUAUGAAUAAAGCAUUAACUAACAAGUCUCGUAAAUGGCUACCUAAGGUGAUAUCUGUAUGUCUACAACACCACAUGCAAUUGACACACUCAUCCGGUGAAAACUACUCGAAGGCUCUUCUACUUACCGUCUAAUUAUCAAAAUAGCUCUGUCGAGUCAAUCCCAAUAAUCACAGAUAAAGCACAUAAAUUGAUCAAGUUCAUGCACUAACAAUCAUAACAAGUAGAAGAAAUAAUCAUAAAAUCAUAAUUGCAUAAUCUCAAGAAAAAGGGUUCGCAAUCCCUACAUAGGGUUCCAACAAAAUCCUAGAUUAAAAACUUAGCUACGCAUGUUCGUUACGAAAAACAUAAUAAAAAUACGAAAAAUCAUAAAACUAUAAAUAACAAUAAAAGAGGAGAACUAUGAUGAAGAUUCGUCAAGUCUUCGUCUUCGUUCUUGUGCUCCUUGAUUGCGUGUAGAAAGAUGAAAGAUAAAAACUAAAGCUAAAGAUAAAAGGUAGAAAGAUCCAAGAUCCGUCUAAUUGUGUGCUUGUGGCCUUUAAAUAGGGUGCAAAAAUAUAAUAGGGCGGGUUUCCUUGUGUAAUUAAACUUCCUUCACUGCGCCCCUACGCCCAUCCGGACGGCCGUGUGAGAUUAAGAUCUAAAACCCGCACGGCCGCGCGGCCUUCUGUUCUUCAGAAUUCUGAUUAUUUCACUUUUGGCCCACUUUUUCUCUGAAUUUGCAGUUUUCACCCCAAAAGUUGUCAAUUCUUCAAUUUGCACCUAAAAUACAAAUAAUAACCAUAUUAAGCACCAAUUAUCGUAAAAACACAUCAAAAGCUCCAAUUAAAAGGUACAAUUAAGUGUAUAAAUAUACACUUAACACACCCCCAAACUUGAACUUUUGCUUGUCCUCAAGUAAAAUCAAAUUAAGAACACAAAACACGACUAUACAUCUCAUUACAUGGAUCGAUUGGUCAACUUCGUGUUUUCAGAACUUGCAAUUAUGGUGAUAAUUCCUAGGCAUUCGCAAGCUUAACAUUCAACGGCACUUAGUCACUCACUAUUACCAAAAACCACAAAUCAUACAAUUGCUUCAAAUAUCCAAUAUUUGCAAGUUAAAAAUAGAGAAAAUUUAUACUUACAUGCAUAUAUUUGACUCCAAAUACUCACCAAAUUAUUUUACUCAACUAAUAUUGAACAAUAAGCUAUUGGGAUCAUUGGGACUUUGUGGCUUUCAAUUGUUAGGCUCUUUGGUCCGAGGUAGGUAAUAUGGGAAUGUGUGGCUAAUUUUCUUGAAUUGAGGUGAUUACGCCAAAAUUUGAAAGCUAGGCGUUUGAAACAAUAAAUUCACCUCUAGGGACUUUAAUAAACUCGACUCUCCAAAAUUCACACGUCAACACUUUUGCCUUGAGGCAAUGGAUCGAGUUUUCAACACAAUUCAACCACUAGUCCUUAUUUCUCCUUUCUAAUCUAUUCUUCUUCUUCUUUUUCUUUUCUCUUUUUUUUUUUUUUUUUUUUUUAUAUCGAAUUUAGAUAUAUAUAUAUAUAUAUAUAUAUAUAUAUAUAUAUAUAUAUAUAUAUAUAUAUAUAUAUAUAUAUAUAUAAAGAUGCACGUAUAUAUAUAUCUAUUUUUUUUUUUUUUUUUUUUUCGAAGAAGAAGAAAGAUCUUAUAAAACAUUUCGACCGAAAUCCAAGGGAUAAUUAUUCAAAAAUCUCCACUUUUCUACCUUCUACAUAUUGGCUAAAAGAAAGAACACCUUUUCUCUCCGAGGCUCAAAUCAAGGUUCUAAGGAUAAAAAUUUAAAGGUAGGCUUGAAAGGCUCAAACGGUUCAAAGAAGGCCUAAAUCAUAUCCCAAAUCACUUACUACCCAACACUUCGUUUCAUAAAUGUCCUAAGGUGAGAUUUAAAACCGAACAAAGCAUGAUUUAGCACAAAUAAAUUCCAAAUUUAAAAUGCAAAACAUUCAACCAAAGCAAUGCACAAGGUGUGAUUCCUAGCAAUAAUUCACUUAUACGUUUCGUUGAAUCGAAAGCUAAACAAAUAUCUACUCCUUAAAAGCAUAAAACAAGUAGUCUCAUCAUCAAACAUUGACCAUCUCUCAUCAUCAUAAUUCAUCGAUGCAACGAAAACAAAACUAAAGCAUGCAAACGAAAACAAAUAAAGCGCACAUAAACGAAAACAAGUAGUUAACACCCCCAAACUUAAAAUUCACAUUGCCCUCAAUGUGAUUCGCCCAGAGUUUAAGGAUAGAAAACACCUGUGUAAAUGUCGGGACCACCGUCGGGUUGCUCACCAACUCCACCGUGCGCAUGAGCAUUAGAAUUGUGAGAAUUUGGGUUGGAAAACCUUGUUAAUCGGCCCCAUUUUUUUUUUUUUUUUUUUUUUUUUUUAAUUUUUUUUUUUUUUUUUUUUUUUUUUUUUUUUUUUUUUUCGGACGGCCGUGCGGAAAUUAGGCCUGCAAUCCGCACGGCCGUGCCAAAAGCCGGAUUUGGGCAGUAGCCCCUUCGAAUCUCAGACGGCCGUGCGAGAUUUUGGCCUAAAAUCCGCACGGCCGUGCCAAAAGCUGGUUUUGGGCAGUAGCCUCCCCGAAGUUUCACACGGCCGUGUGAGAUUUCGCCCUCUUUCUUGCACGGCCGUGUCAAUAAUUGCAUUUCGGUCCCUGCAAAAUAAAAACUUCUUAUUAGUUCCCCUGAAACUUUUUUUUUUUUUUUUUUUUUUUUUUUUUUUUUUUUAAAAAAAAAAAAACUAACACUAACAAGAUAAAUAAAUAAAAACAAAAAUUAAAAUAAAAUAAAAGAACGAAAAACGAAAGCUCGGGUUGCCUCCCGAGAAGCGCUAAGUUUACAGUCUUCAGCCGGACGUUGUCUGCUUCUUUAAUUCCUUAGCUUUUGAACCCAUCUCCUAACUUCCUUUUGGAGAAAGUCUUGAAUAAAUGGGUUGAUCCGAUUCUUCUUUCGACGGGUUCGCUUAGGACUGCCCUUGAAUUUAUUCUUCUUGAUGUCAUGAGGUUUGCCAACAUCGUCUUUUAUCACGGUGUUUUGAGUAGGUGUUGUAACCAACUCAACCUUUUUCUUAUGUUCUCCUACAUGCACAUUAGUAUCCACAAAAAAAUUUAAAUCAUGUAAUUUAACAGGAAAAAGUUUAGAAUCACUUACCUCAUCAAGAAGAUAACAUCCAUUAGCCGUAAUAGGCUUUUCAUCCACCCGGUACACCUUGAAGAUCACUGUUUCUUCCCCCACACUCAUUCUUAGCUCUCUCUUUCCUACAUCAAUAAUUGACCUACCGGUUGCUAAGAAGGGGCGUCCUAAGAUAAGGGGAAUAUUUUCAUCUUCCUCUAUGUCUAGUACUAGAAAAUCGGCCGGGAGUAUGAACUUAUCUACCUUGACCAAUACAUCCUCCACUAUACCUAAAGGGUGAGUAAAAGAUCUAUCGGCUAGCUGCAAGGUCACGGAAGUAGGCUUAAUUUCUCCUAAAUUCAAUUUCUCAUAGAUUGAUAAAGGCAUUAAAUUUACGCUCGCCCCUUGAUCACACAACGCCCGCCCAAAAUACCUAGUACCUAUUGUGCAUGGAAUGGUACAACUGCCCGGAUCUCUAAGCUUCGGUGGAAUUUUAUUUGCAAGGAUAGAACUACUUUGCUCAUUGAGGUCUAUGAUUGCUGCACACUCCGGAAGCCUCAUCUUUUUCGAUACAAGUUCCUUUAUAAACUUAACCCAAUUCGGCAUAUGCUUAAGUGCCUCAACAAAAGGAAUAUUAACAUGCAACUUUUUAAGAUAAUCCAAAAAUAACUGAAAUUGCAUAUCAAGCUUAGAGUUUUGAAAACGUUGAGGGAAAGGUACCUUGGGAGUAGGUUCACUUACUAUGAUCUUUGUGUUGCUUGGCCCGACCUCGGUUUUUUCCUUGGGCUCCUCUACAAUAGGCGGUGGUGCAACGGACUUUUUAGGAACUUCCUCUAAUUGCCUCCCAUUUCGCAAACUCACUGCAUUGCACUGCUCGAUGUUGCUCUUUCGAGGAUCUUCCGUAUUCGAUGGCAGUGCUCCCGACGGCCUCGCAUUUAGUUGGGUUGCAAGUUGACCCAUCUGUGUUUCCAAAUUUCGAAUGGAAGCUUGAGUCGACGUCAUGAAUUUCGCUAAGAUGUCAGCGAGGUCAACUCCUUGGGCCGGAGCUUGAGGUGGAUUUUGGAAUUCGGGCGCUGGCCUUUGUCCUUGCUGAUUUCCUCCCCAUCCAAAGUUGGGGUGAUCUUUCCAUCCCGGAUUAUAAGUGUUGGAGUACGGGUUCCUCUGUUGUCGGUUGGUGUCAUUCACGUAAUUUAGAGACUCCGUUUCUGCUAAGCACCGGUCGGGACCUUGGAUUGCAUGGACUUGCUGGGUCUGCAAAGCUGCAACUUGCUUUGAUAGCUUUUCUAACUGGGCGGUGAUUGCGGUGACUCCGUCUAACUCUAAAAUUCCUCCCGUCUUAUUGGCUCCGCUAUUUGACCGGUCCGAUGCACGCAUGUAUUUGUUCCUUGCGAUCCGCUCCAAAAGCUCGUAAGCUUCGUCAUAUGUUAAGCUCAUGUACAUACCGCCCGCUGCUGAAUCGAGCACCGUUCUCGAAUUAUCUUGCAAUCCAUCAUAAAAUAUUUGCAGUUGCCGCCACUCUUGAAGACCGUGAUUCGGGCAUCUCCGAAUUAAUUGUUUGAAUCGCUCCCACGUCUCGAAUAAUGCUUCACCGGCUUCUUGUAUGAAGUUUUGCAUUUCUCUCCGGAUUCUCUCAGUUUUGCUUGGGGAGUUGUAUGUAUUCAUGAAGAGUUGUGCUAGCUGGGGCCAAGAGGAGAUGGAGUGCGGUGCACGAGUUUGCAACCAUUCUCGGGCUGCUCCUUGUAAAGAGUGCUUGAACAGGCGGAGUUGCAGUGCUUCGGGUGAUACUCCGUUCAUCUUGUGCGAAUCACACGUUUCGAGAAAAUUGACCAAGUGGAGAUGCGGAUCUUCAUGAGCUAAUCCGCUGAACAACCCAUUGUUUUGGAGCAUAGUAAGGAGUCCCGCUCGAAAUUCGAAAUUGUUGGCUUCAAUGGGAGGCUGCUGGAUGCUCGAUUGGAACCCAUUGAGUGUUGGAACGGUGUACUCAUGCAAUGCUCGUUGACGAUGUGGUGGAUUAAUUAGCUGAAGUUGCUCUUGCUCGUUGACGAUAUUUCCUGCCGCAUUCGGUAGGCGCCCUUGGUCAUCUCCCCUACGAUUAUUCUCUUCUUCCAUUCGCAUAAAAAGUACCUAAACAAAAAUAAUAAAAAUAAAAUAAGCAGAGAAAAUAAUUAAAUAAAAUAAAUAAAACGGCUGAAGUAAGAAAAAUUGCUCAAAUUUAAUAUUAGGAUAAAUAGAUAAUUUAGCCGUAUUCCCCGGCAACGGCGCCAAAAACCUGUUGGGUGCUAAAUACCAACACGCAAGUGCACGUAUCGCAAACAAGUAAUAAAGUGGACUCGUGAGAGUCGGAUGUCGAUCCCACAGGGAAUACGCAAAUUACCUAAUCCUAAGUACCAAAUUCUAACAAUUAUGAUUUUUAUCCAGCCUACGCAAGUUUGUCAAAUUAAAUCAAUUAAACAACUAAACUAAUAAAGAAAGCAAAUAACACAGGAAAAUAUCAAUUAAAACGGACCUAGGGUUUUAUCUUCCCCCUAUGCAAGAAUUGCUCACCCAAAACCCCUCAAUUAUGAAAUAUAUGAUUCAUGAUUAUUAACCCGAGACACUAAUUUACUCAUAACCCGCUGUCGCGUGUAUUAUGAGUCUAUUAUUCAUAAACGAUUCACUAUAUGUCUAUGCAAACCAAUUAUGAAUAAAGCAUUAACUAACAAGUCUCGUAAAUGGCUACCUAAGGUGAUAUCUGUAUGUCUACGACACCACAUGCAAUUGACACACUCAUCCGGUGAAAACUACUCGAAGGCUUUUCUACUUACCGUCUAAUUAUCAAAAUAGCUCUGUCGAGUCAAUCCCAAUAAUCACAGAUAAAGCACAUAAAUUGAUCAAGUUCAUGCACUAACAAUCAUAACAAGUAGAAGAAAUAAUCAUAAAAUCAUAAUUGCAUAAUCUCAAGAAAAAGGGUUCGCAAUCCCUACAUAGGGUUCCAACAAAAUCCUAGAUUAAAAACUUAGCUACGCAUGUUCGUUACGAAAAACAUAAUAAAAAUACGAAAAAUCAUAAAACUAUAAAUAACAAUAAAAGAGGAGAACUAUGAUGAAGAUUCGUCAAGUCUUCGUCUUCGUUCUUGUGCUCCUUGAUUGCGUGUAGAAAGAUGAAAGAUAAAAACUAAAGCUAAAGAUAAAAGGUAGAAAGAUCCAAGAUCCGUCUAAUUGUGUGCUUGUGGCCUUUAAAUAGGGUGCAAAAAUAUAAUAGGGCGGGUUUCCUUGUGUAAUUAAACUUCCUUCACUGCGCCCCUACGCCCAUCCGGACGGCCGUGUGAGAUUAAGAUCUAAAACCCGCACGGCCGCGCGGCCUUCUGUUCUUCAGAAUUCUGAUUAUUUCACUUUUGGCCCACUUUUUCUCUGAAUUUGCAGUUUUCACCCCAAAAGUUGUCAAUUCUUCAAUUUGCACCUAAAAUACAAAUAAUAACCAUAUUAAGCACCAAUUAUCGUAAAAACACAUCAAAAGCUCCAAUUAAAAGGUACAAUUAAGUGUAUAAAUAUACACUUAACACGUAUUCCUAAUACGUAAGAUGCUUCUCCCAAAUCCUUCAUUGAGAAACGUGUGGACAACCAUGCUUUCGUUUGUUGCAGCAUUCCUACGUCAUUCCCAAUGAGUAGAAUGUCAUCAACGUAAAGCACUAAAAAUAUUACUGCCCUCCCACUAACCUUCUUGUAUACACAAGGUUCCUCCGGAUUCUUCUCAAAAUCAAACUCUUUGAUAGUUGAGUCGAACCUAAUGUUCCAACUACGGGAUGCUUGCUUCAAUCCAUAAAUGGAUCGCUGGAGCUUGCAAACCUUUUGCUCACUUCCAGAAGAUAUGAAGCCUUCCGGCUGCGCCAUGUAAAUUUCUUCCUCAAUAUCUCCAUUAAGGAAGGCGGUCUUCACAUCCAUUUGCCAUAUCUCGUAGUCGUACCACGCAGCUAUGGCCAGCAAAAUCCUAAUGGAUUUCAGCAUCGCGACUGGCGAAAAGGUUUCCUCAUAGUCAACACCUUGCCUUUGAGUGUAUCCUUUUGCUACCAAUCUAGCUUUAUAGGUCGAUACCUUUCCAUCAACUCCAAUUUUCUUCUUAUAGAUCCAUUUGCAGCCUAUAGGAACAAUUCCUUUGGGUGGAUCUACCAAGGUCCAUACCUUGUUUGAGUACAUGGAGUCCAUUUCGGAUUUCAUGGCAGUUAGCCAAUGUCCCAUGUCCGCAUCGGAUACGGCCUCAUUGUAUGUUCUUGGAUCUCGUCCAAGAUCAACAUGAUCUUCAUCAUUUUCGAGGAGGAAUAACCUAUCCGGCAUUUUCCGAACUCUUUCGGAUCUACGUACCGUAGGUUCAGGAGGUAUAUUAGUGGAUUGUUGUAUUGGUUCGAUUACUUGUUCUUGCGUUUGAACUUCAUUUUGUGGUUCUUGAACUAUUUCAAGUUCUAUCAUGCUGCCCUUUCUAUCAGAUAGAAACUCCCUUUCCAAAAAGGUGGCAUUUCUUGAAACAAACGUCUUUGCUUCUUUGACAUAGUAGAACUCGUAUCCCAUCGAGUCUUCAGGAUACCCCACAAAAUAGCACAAGUCGGAUUUACUAUCCAACUUAUCUCCCACUAAUCGCUUCACAUAAGCGGGACAACCCCAUAUCCUAAUAUGUUUGUAGUUGGGUUUCCGGGAAUGCCAAAGUUCAUAAGGUGUGGAUUUAACUGCUUUGGUGUUAACUCUAUUCAGCAAAUACGCGGCAGUACGGAGUGCAUGACCCCACAAGUAUGCCGGUAAGUUUGUGAACCCCAUCAUUGAUCGAACCAUAUCUAAUAAAGUUCGAUUCCGACGUUCGGACACUCCAUUAAGUUGAGGAGUUCCCGGUGGAGUCCAUUGGGAUUGUAUCCCAUUCUCUUUUAGAUAGUCAAUGAACUCGAUGCUCAAGUAUUCUCCACCACGAUCGGAUCGCAGCUUCUUAAUACUUCGUCCGAGUUGCUUUUCUACUUCAUGUCUAAAAUCUUUGAACUUCUCAAAUGUUUCAGACUUGUACUUCAUCAAGUACACAUACCCAUACCUAGAAUAAUCGUCGGUAAAGGUGGCGAAGUAGUUAUAUCCACCCUUCGCACUAACACUUAGUGGACCACAUACGUCUGUAUGGAUCAAAUCCAAAAGACCCUCGGCUCGUUCCAUUAUCCCUUUCUAGGGUGACUUGGUCAUUUUCCCUUUAAGGCAAGAUUCACAAGUUUGUAGUGAUUUCACGUCCUCCAAAGAGAACAAUCCUUCACUGACAAAAUCGUUCAUCCUUCUUAAAGAGACAUGACCUAAUCUAGCGUGCCAAAGUUGUGCGGGGUUUUGAUCUAUCUCCUUACGUUUUGCUGAUAUAACAUUAAUAGGUAUUUCAUUUGGAUUUAGUUCAUACAAGUUUUUUAAUAGUCGUCCUUUGCAAAUUAAAUUCUCAUUCUUUUGUAUAAUGCAAAUCAAAUUUCCAAAAACAAAAGUAAAACCUUCAAUAUCUAAUACAGGAAUAGAAAUAAGGUUUCUAAUGAGCGACGGAACAAAUAAACAAUCGUUCAAAACAAUAGGAAAACUAGAAUCCAAAACAUUUAAGUAAAUUGUGCCAAUGGCUUCAGCAGCAACUCUUGCUCCAUUCCCCAUCCUUAGGUAGGUCUCACCCGCUCUAAGUCUUCGACUUCUUGUCAUUAGCUGCAAAUCAUUGCACAAAUGUGAGCCACAGCCCGUAUCCAAUACCCAAGAAGAAGAGUUAAUAGACAAAUUUACGUCAAUGAAAUACGUACCCUUUUCAGAACCUUUCUGCUUUAGGUAAGCCUUGCAGUUGCGGCGCCAAUGUCCUUUCUUUCCACAGUGAUGGCAAGCAUCAUCAUCUUGCUUACCAACCUUUGCUUUGGGGCCCCCACUACCUUCACCCACUUCGAACUUGCUGUUUGGGAAGGGAACUCUUUCCUUUCUCUUCUUUUGGAAAGAACUCUUCUUUCCAGAAGUAGCAGCAAUGAGAACAGACUUCUCUUUCUUAAUGGUGGACUCGAAGCUGACCAACAUGUUCAUUAACUCAUCCAAGGGAGGAUCUAGUUUUUUCAUGUUGAAGUUCACUAUGAACGAUUCAUAGGAACUAGGAAGAGACAACAGGAUCAAAUCCAACGAGAGCUCGGCCGGGAGGGUGACAUCAAGAUUCACUAGCUUUUCAAGGAGAGUGAUCAUUUUGAGACAGUGCUCGUGGACCGAAGUCCCUUCGCGCAGUCUCGCUGUGAUCAACUCCUUUGUAGUAGCGUACCUCGAUGCCCUAAUAUUCUCACUAUACAUGCUAUCGAGAUGAGCCUUUAUAUCGAAAGCAUGCAUGCGAGACUCAUAUUUCCUCGCAAGCGCGGGCUCCAUGGCGGCUAUCAUAUAGCACCUAGCAUGAGUGUCAUCUUUCUUCCAAACUUCAAAAGUUUCCUUUUCAGCAUCAGUCGCUGUGGCAGGUGUUAAGUGUAUAUUUAUACACUUAAUUGUACCUUUUAAUUGGAGCUUUUGAUGUGUUUUUACGAUAAUUGGUGCUUAAUAUGGUUAUUAUUUGUAUUUUAGGUGCAAAUUGGAGAAUUGACAACUUUUGGGGUGAAAACUGCAAUUUCGGAGAAAAAGUGGGCCAAAAGUGAAAAAAGCAAAAUUCUGGAGAAUUAAAAGACCGCACGGCCGUGCGGAUUUUAGUUCUCAAUCUCACACGGCCGUCCGGGUGGACGUAGGGGCGCAGUGAAGGAAUUUUAAUUACACAAGGAAACCCGCCCUAUUAUAUUUUUGCACCCUAUUUAAAGGCCACAAGCACACAAUUAGACCUAUCUUGGAUCUUUUAUCUUUUAUCUUUUUCUUUAGUUUUUAUUUUUCAUCUUUUCUACACGCAAUCGAGGAGCAAGAGAACGAAGACGAAGACUUGACGAAUCUUCAUCCUAGUUUCCCUUUUUCCUUUUCUUUUCUGAUUUUUAUGAAUCUCCGUAUUUUUAUUAUGCUUUUCGUUACGAACAUGAGUAGCUAAGUUUUUAUUCUAGGAUUUUAUUGGAACCCUAUGUGGUGAUUCGAACCUCUUAUUCGACUUUUAUGCAAGUUUAAUUUUUCGAUUAUUUCUUCUAUCUUGAUCUUAUUUAGUGCAUGAGCGUAGCUAACUUAUGUUGCUAUUUGUUAUUGUUAGAAUUGAUUGACAGAUCGUUUUAAUAAUUAGAACAGGGAUAGAAGAGCCUUCGAGUAGUUUUUCACCGAAUGCGUGUGUUGAUUGCAUGUAUUAUCGUAGACAUACAGAUAAUACCUUAGGUAGCCGUUUACGAGACUUGUUAUUUAAUGCUUUAUUUAUACUAGGUUUGCAUAGACAUAUAGUGAAUCUUUUAUGAAUAAUAGGUUUAUAGCGCAGCGACAGCUGGUUAUGAAUAAUUUCGUGUCUUGGGUUAAUAAUCGGGAAUCGUAACUUGCAUGAUAGGAGAUUAAUUGGGUGAAGAAUUAUCGCAUAGGGGGAAGAUAAAAUCCUAGAUCCGUUUUAUAUUGAUAUUUUCUCGUGAUUAAUUGCUUUCUUAAUUAGUUUAAUUUAUUUAGUUAAUUAAUUUGACAACCCUGCGUAGGCUGGAUAAAAAUCACAAUUGUUAGGAUUUGGUACUUAGGAUUAAAUAAUUUGCGUAUUCCCUGUGGGAUCGACAUCCGACACUCUCGAGUCUACUUUACUACUUGUUUGCGAUACGUACACUUGCGUGUUGGUAUUUAGCACCCAACAAGUUUUUGGCGCCGUUGCCGGGGAAUACAGCUAAAUUAUUUAUUUAUCCUAAUAUUAAAUUUGAACAAUUUUUCUUACUUCAGCCAAUUUUUUUAUUUUAUUUAAUUAUUUUUUUUAUUAUUUAUUUUGUUCUAGGUACUUUUUAUGCGAAGAGGACACGACACGAGCCUGCUACCUCUUGAUCCCGAAAUUGAGCGAACGUUUAGGCAAGCCAGGAGAAAUCAACGGUUAGCCCAAAAAACUCCGGCAACGAUGGAAGACGAGAAUAAUCGUGGGGGAGGUAACCAAGGGCGCCUACCGAAUGCGGCAGGGGAAAUCGUCAACGAGCAAAACCAACGCCACAUAAUUAAUCCACCACCGCGUCAACGAGCACUGCAUGAGUACACCGUUCCAACGCUUAAUGGGUUCCAAUCAAGCAUCCAGCAGCCCCCCAUUGAAGCCAACAAUUUCGAGAUUCGAGCGGGACUCCUCACGAUGCUCCAAAACAACGGUUUAUUCAGCGGAUUGGCUCAUGAAGACCCACAUCUCCACUUGGUCAACUUUCUGGAGACGUGUGAUUCGCACAAGAUGAACGGAGUAUCACCCGAAGCCUUGCAACUCCGCCUAUUCAAGCAUUCCUUGCAAGGCGCAGCCCGAGAAUAGUUACAAACUCGCGCACCACACUCCAUCUCGUCUUGGGCCCAGCUAGCACAACUUUUCAUGAACACAUACAACUCCCCAACGAAAACUGAGAGAAUCCGGCGAGAAAUUCAAAACUUCAUACAAGAAGCCGGUGAAGCAUUAUUCGAGACGUGGGAGCGGUUCAAACAGUUAGUGAGGAGGUGCCCGAAUCACGGACUACAAGAGUGGCGUCAACUGCAAAUAUUUUACGAUGGACUGCAAGACAACUCGAGGACAGUGCUCGACUCUGCAGCUGGAGGUAUGUUCAUGAGUUUGACCUACGACGAAGCAUACGAACUCUUGGAGCGAAUCGCUAGGAAUAAAUACAUGCGAGCAUCAGACCGGUCGAAUAGCGGAGCAGUCAAGACGGUUGGAAUUUUGGAGUUAGACGGAGUCACUGCAAUCACGGCCCAAUUGGAGAAGCUAUCGAAGCAAGUAGCGGCUUUGCAAACUCAGCAAGUCCACGCAGUCCAAGUUCCCGACCAGCGCGUAGAAGAAACGGAGUCUCUAAAUUAUGUGCAUGACACCAACCGACAACAGAGGAACCCGUACUCCAAUACUUACAAUCCCGGAUGGAAGGAUCACCCUAACUUUGGGUGGGGAGGAAAUCAGCAAGGACAAAGGCAAGCAACACCUCAAGGUCAACCGCCUAAUUAUUCACGACCAGCUCCCGGAUUCCAAAAUCCGCUUCAAGCCCAACCUCAAGGCGGAGAUCUCGCAAAUAUCUUGGCGCAGUUCAUGACAACCACCCAAGCCUCUAUCCGAAAUUUGGAAACACAGAUGGGUCAACUUGCAACCCAACUAACAGCGAGGCCAUCGGGAGCACUGCCAUCAAACACGGAAGAUCCUCGGAAGAACAACAUCGAACAGUGCAACGCUGUAAGUUUAAGGAACGGGAGACAAUUAGAGGAGGCCCCACGAAAGGAGAAGCAACACACGGUAAUCGAGAAACCGAAUGUGAAUGAGGAAAAAGAAGCAACUCGCAAGGAACCGCCAUCUCCCACAGUGAUCUCAAGAGUCCCUCAAGUCCGCUUUCCUCAAAAGCUUCAAAAGAAGAAACUCGAUGCUGAGCACCAAGGAUUCUUGGACAAGCUGAAGGAAAUCCACAUCAACAUUCCGUUUAUCGAAGCCAUCCAAAAGAUGCCAAAGUGGGUGAAAUUCCUCAAGGAGCUUGUGACAAAGAGGAAUAAAUUGCAAGGGAACGAGAUCAUCCAACUCACGGAGCAAUGCAGUGAAAUUGUUGUACGACUCCUUCCACAAAAACUCGGCGAUCCAGGUAAGUUCACUAUCCCUUGCACUAUUGGAGGUUACAAUUUUAGGUCACUCAUUGAUUUAGGUGCUAGCAUCAAUCUUAUGCCUUAUUCCAUUUACAAAAAUCUUGGGUUAGGUGAGAUUGAACCAACAGCUAUAACCCUUCAAUUAGCCGAUAGGUCUUUAGUUUACCCAAAAGGUAUUUUAGAGAACGUGCUAGUAAAAGUGAAUAAAUUUAUUUUCCAUGUGGAUUUCGUUAUACUUGAUAUAGAUGAAGAUAGGGAAAUACCUCUUAUUUUAGGGAGACCAUUUUUAGCCACGUCAAAAACUCUAAUUGAUUGUGCUAGUGGUGAUCUUUCAAUGACGGUGCAUGAUCAAACGGUCAAAUUUAACGUUUUUAGCGCUAAUAAAAAUCCAUGUGAUGAUAAUGAUUGUUAUGCUAUAGAUCUUGUGGAUUUUACAAAUCAUGACGAUUUUGACGCUUUGAUCUUAGACCAUGGGAAAGGAUCUUUGAGUGCAGGAGAUGGUGGCGGAAAAGAUAGUCGGACGAAGCAAGUUUUUUGUGCGAGCUCGAUUUCAACUCCGCCGAGAGACAGUCAAAAGAGUUGGGGUGCUAACGGUGAUGAACGUGCAAGGAGGAUGUGGCCACCUAAAAAUUCAAACGAGCAUUAUCAUGGAGGGGAAUGCAAUCGCCAAGUGACUUCGGUCACGUUAGCUUGAACAAAGAAGCAGACAAAGUCCGGCUGAAGACUGUAAACUUAGCGCUUCUCGGGAGGCAACCCGAGCUUUCUUUUUUUAUUUUAUGUUAUUUUAAAUUUUUAGUUUGGCUUUUAUUUUAUUUUAUUUUUCAAAAAAAAAAAAAAAAAAAAAAAAAAAAAAAAAAAGUUUUGGGGGCACUAAUAGGAAGUUUUUAUUUUGCAGGGACCUAAUUGCAAUUAUUCACACGGCCGUGCAAGAAAAGGGCAGGAAUCUCACACGGCCGUGUGAGAUUUCGGGGAAGCUACUGCCCAAAAUUGGAAAAUGGCACGGCCGUGCGGAUUUUACACCUAAAUUUCGCACGGCCGUGCGAAAUUUGAAGAGGCUACUGCCCUAUUAUGAGAAAUGGCACGGCCGUGCGGAUUUUUCACCUAAAUUUCGCACGGCCGUGCGAAUCAAAAAAAAAAAAAAAAAAAAAAAAUUCCAUAAUUCCCAAAUCCCCUCUCUCCACCAAUUCGAACCCUCGCCUUCCUUUUUCGAAAUUUUCCCUUUUCUUUGACAAAUUUAACCGAAAAUUUACCAACUACACACAUAUACUACGUAAUCAAGGUGGUUUGUUGUUGAUUUGCGCAGGGAGAUUCAAGAACGGUGCAAUUUUCUCGAAAAAAAAAACCCAUUCCACCAAGAACGCCCACAAGGUGUUCGACGAUUUUCCCGCACCGAUUCUUGAGCCGGUACCCGAGCUAUUGGAGGAUAACGAGGAGGAUGAUGCUCAUGCACAUGGUGGAGUUGGUGAGCAACCCAACGAUGAUCCCGACGAUUAAACAGGUGUUUUCUAUCCUUAAACUCCGGGCGAAUCACAUGGAGGGCAAUGUGAAUUUUAAGUUUGGGGGUGGUUGAUUACUUGUUUUCAUUUAUGUGCGCUUUAUCUGUGUUUUUUAUUUUUAUUUUGCAUGCUUUAGUUUUUGUUUUAAUUGUCGUUUUAUUAUUUUCGUUUUUAUAAAAAAAAAAAAAAAUAAAAAAAAAAAAAAUAAAAAAAAAAAGUAAAUAAAAUAUUUUUCGAUGCAUCGAUGAACUAUGAUGAUGGUAGAUGGUCAAUGUUUGAUGAUGAGACUACUUGUUUUAUGUUGAUAAGGAGUAUGUAUUUGUUUAGCUUUCGAUUCAACGGAACGUAGAAGUGAAUUAUUGCUAGGAAUCACACCUUGUGCUUUGCUUUGGUUGAAUGUUUUGCAUUUUAAAUUUGGAAUUUAUUUGUGCUCAAUCAUGCUUUGUUCGGUUUUAAAUCUCACCUUAGGACAUUAACGAUACGAAGUGUUGGUAGUAAGUAAUUUGGGAUAUGAUUUGGGCGUUCUUUGAACCGUUUGAGCCUUUCAAGCCUACCAUUUUUGUCAAAUUAUCCUUAGAACCUUGAUUUGAGCCUCGGAGAAAAGGUGUUCUUUCUUUUAGCCAAUAUGUAGAAGGUAGAAAAAGUGGAGAUUUUUGAAUAAUUAUCCCUUGGAGGUCGAUCGAAAAUUCUUAUAAAAUCUUUCUUCUUCUUCGAGAAAAAAAAAAAAAAAAAAGAAAAAAAAACUAUGGAUAUAUAUAUGUGCAUCUUUAUAUAUAUAUCUAAAUUCUUCGAUUCAAAAAAAAAAAAAAAAAAAAAAAGAGAAAAAGAAGAAGAAGAACAGAUUAGAAGGGAGAAAUAAGGACUAGUGUUGAAGUGUGUUGAAAACUCGAUCCAUUGACUCAAAAGCAAAAGUGUUGACGUGUGAAUUUUGGAGAACCGAGUUUAUUUAAGUCCCUAGAGGUGAAUUCAUUGUUUCAACGCCUAUCUUUCAAUUUUUGGCGUAAUCACCUCAAUUCAAGAAAAUUAGCCACACAUUCCCAUAUUACCUACCUCGGACCAAAGAGCCUAACAAUUGAAAGCCACAAAGUCCCAAUGAUCCCAAUAGCUUAUUGUUCAAUAUUAGUUGAGUAAAAUAAUUUGGUGAGUAUUUGGAGUCAAAUAUAUGCAUGUAAGUAUAAAUUCUUUCUAUCUUUAACUUGCAAAUAUUGGAUACUUGAAGCAAUUGUAUGAUUUGUGGUUUUUGGUAAUAGUGAGUGACUAAGUGCCGUUGAAUGUUAAGCUUGCGAAUACCUAUGAAUUGUCAUCAUAAUUGCAAGUUCUGAAAACGCGAAGUUGACCCAUCGAUCUAUGUAAUGAGAUGUAUGGUUUUGUUUUGUGCUAUUAAUUUGAUUUUACUUGAGGACAAGCAAAAGUUCAAGUUUGGGGGUGUGUUAAGUGUAUAUUUAUACACUUAAUUGUACCUUUUAAUUGGAGCUUUUGAUGUGUUUUUACGAUAAUUGGUGCUUAAUAUGGUUAUUAUUUGUAUUUUAGGUGCAAAUUGGAGAAUUGACAACUUUUGGGGUGAAAACUGCAAUUUCGGAGAAAAAGUGGGCCAAAAUUGAAAAAAGCAGAAUUCUGGAGAAUUAGAAGACCGCACGGCCGUGCGGAUUUUAGUUCUCAAUCUCACACGGCCGUCCGGGUGGACGUAGGGGCGCAGUGAAGGAAUUUUAAUUACACAAGGAAACCCGCCCUAUUAUAUUUUUGCACCCUAUUUAAAGGCCACAAGCACACAAUUAGACCUAUCUUGGAUCUUUUAUCUUUUAUCUUUUUCUUUAGUUUUUAUUUUUCAUCUUUUCUACACGCAAUCGAGGAGCAAGAGAACGAAGACGAAGACUUGACGAAUCUUCAUCCUAGUUUCCCUUUUUCCUUUUCUUUUCUGAUUUUUAUGAAUCUCCGUAUUUUUAUUAUGCUUUUCGUUACGAACAUGAGUAGCUAAGUUUUUAUUCUAGGAUUUUAUUGGAACCCUAUGUGGUGAUUCGAACCUCUUAUUCGACUUUUAUGCAAGUUUAAUUUUUCGAUUAUUUCUUCUAUCUUGAUCUUAUUUAGUGCAUGAGCGUAGCUAACUUAUGUUGCUAUUUGUUAUUGUUAGAAUUGAUUGACAGAUCGUUUUAAAAUUAGAACAGGGAUAGAAGAGCCUUCGAGUAGUUUUUCACCGAAUGCGUGUGUUGUUUGCAUGUAUUAUCGUAGACAUACAGAUAAUACCUUAGGUAGCCGUUUACGAGACUUGUUAUUUAAUGCUUUAUUUAUACUAGGUUUGCAUAGACAUAUAGUGAAUCUUUUAUGAAUAAUAGGUUUAUAGCGCAGCGACAGCUGGUUAUGAAUAAUUUCGUGUCUUGGGUUAAUAAUCGGGAAUCGUAACUUGCAUGAUAGGAGAUUAAUUGGGUGAAGAAUUAUCGCAUAGGGGGAAGAUAAAAUCCUAGAUCCGUUUUAUAUUGAUAUUUUCUCGUGAUUAAUUGCUUUCUUAAUUAGUUUAAUUUAUUUAGUUAAUUAAUUUGACAACCCUGCGUAGGCUGGAUAAAAAUCACAAUUAUUAGGAUUUGGUACUUAGGAUUAAAUAAUUUGCGUAUUCCCUGUGGGAUCGACAUCCGACUCUCUCGAGUCUACUUUACUACUUGUUUGCGAUACGUACACUUGCGUGUUGGUAUUUAGCACCCAACAGCAGGUAUAGUGGCAGGAAGCCUCUCGUUCAAAACAUAGAGACGCCCCUCAACAGUUAGCACAAGCUUAAGACUACGCAACCAAUCUAGGUAAUUAGGGCCAUUGAGUUUAUUGUCGAGGAUUGACAUUAUGGGAUUCUUAGACAUGAUUAUCUGAGACAUAUAGAGAAGAGGAUUAUUAGAGAUUCGCGUUAAAUGAUUGUUACAAUUAAAUGUUUGGCCUUGUGUUAUUUAAUUGUUCUCCCACUAAUUUUAUCGAGUUCUACUUCCCUCUAGUAGACAAACGAGAAAACUGAUUUUUCUUAAUGGGCUUUAGGUCCAAUAGACAAAUAUAACCCGUAGUUAAUCUAGCCCGAUUAUAUUUGCCCAAAGGUAGAUCACAAUCAAUCAUAUCCACAAUAUGACCCUAAAUUAAUUUUCCUCACACUUGAUAAUGACCUAAGUUAAUCUCGCGAAUAUCAAAAUCGUCGUGUGUCAAGUCUGACCUACCAGUCAAAGAUGCUCAUAGAACUUGAUUAUGCCAAACUAAUGCAGUCCCUAGUUAAUCUAGCCGACCACGUUAAUCCAACAUAACCCUUUUCUAUGGCUACCUUCAUCAAUAUGUCAAUUGAAUUACAGCUUACUCUACCAUAGCACUCCCCGCUAACACGGCUUACUGCACUACAGCAAAGGGCUACACAUAAUCCAACCGUUGGCAGAAGGAAAGAAAUAACUCAACAGAUUGGGUCAUUCUUUAUAGCUUGAAAUGAUUCUCAAUUAAAUUAAGAAUGAGGGGUUUUAUUAAAAGUUUUAUCUCAUCAGAAGGUUCGGAUUGGUCUAUGUGAUUCCUACAUCUAUGUUCUCUAAAGGUAUAUGGAAACGCAUAUUUUCCUAAGAGGAACAUACGACCUAACUAUAUAAUUAAUUACAUUAAUUAAUUAUCGGGUUUUUUAAAAUAAUUAUAGAACCUCAACUAGCAUAAAUCAUUCAUAUAAUGUUGAGGUACUACUAAUUAAGUUGAACUAUAAUCAAUAUUAUAUAUGUGUUCUAUUAAUUGAAAUCAAUUUAACAAUUUAAAUUAAUUAAUUAAUCUUAACACCUAUUUACUAAAAUAGAUGAUUGUUGAUCCAAUUAUCUAAUUGGGAUUAAUUGAAAAUAAUUUUUCAAAAAUUAAAAUCAAUUUGUUUUAGGUUUAAUUUUAGAAAUCUGAAAUAAUUUUUUUUUUUUUUUUUUUUUUUUUUUUUAUUUUCAGUGAACCGGUUCGGCCCAACCGGUCUGACCGGCUCGGACCGAAGCGGUCCGGUUCUGUCCGGUCCAGCUGACCCAAAUCAGUGGGCCGGGUCAGUCGGACCGGGAACCGGUCUGACCGACCCGAAUCCACGUGGAUUCGGUCAACUAAAUCGCACACAACCAUCGAACCGGCCGGUUCGACCGGUUCGAUCCGAACAAUUAAAAACCGACGUUUUAAAAACAAUUUCAGAUCCGAUUUUCCAAUUUUAAACAAUUUUAAAGCUGGAAAAAUUCUAAACAAUAUUUCAAAAAUAUUUUAAACUUACGAAAACUCCCAAUUACAUAAUACAACAAUCGCUACUUUAAUAAAUCGAACAUGCAUAAAAUCAUAGCAUAUUAAAUGACGCAAUUAAUUACGCAACGAGCUCUGAUACCACUGUUGGGUUUCGGGCACGCAUACGCAGCGGAAAACAAAAAAAUUAUGCGAAUUAAACGACUUUAAAUCACAUAUGUACAUGCCCGACAAAUUAAAUCAAUUAAUUGCGUACCUUUGCGCUUCCAGCGAAAUUAAAAACAACAUACAUGCUAAAUAAUUUAACAGAAUUUAAAUCAAUUAACAUGCUCGCGUUUAAACCAAUUAACAUGCUUGCAAAGAUUAAAACGAUUACAUAUAAUCACAUAAAAUCAUACGAUAGCAAACAUGAAAUCAUAGUUUAAAUCUAAACGAACCGAAACUAGGGUUUCGUGUAUUUACCUCUUGAAGCGUGAGGUAGGAGCGUUUAGCAAGUCGAGAUUGCUACGGAAACCAAUCCGUACAAUCGAGGCAGCAGCAAUGCAGCGGCAGCAGCGGCAGAUCGGCACGGCGGCGCGUGUAUCUCACGCGCGGACUUCGAGGCGGCGCGUGUGUCGCGUGCGUCGUCGGCUUGAUGGCUGUUCUUCGAUUCUUCAAUCUUCCUCCUCUCGGAUUUCACCUCGUAUACUUCGAUCUACUAAAACGUAGCACUAGACACGAAGUAGUUAGAAUUAACGGAAGAAAAAGAAAGAAGAAAAGAGUACCGAAAAAGAUCGUCCAAUUGAUGGCCGAUUCCGGUCACGGCGGAGCGACGGCGGCGCGGUGGUGGCCGAUGGGAGAGAGGCCGAGAGAGAGAGAGUGUAGCGGCUAGGGUUAGGGUUGAGUUGUGUGUCUUGUGCAAGACCUAUAAAUCAAGUAUUUAUAUGUCUUGCAUAAAACCCUAGCGGGCUUAAGUUGGACCGGGCCCAACAGCUUAAGUCCGAUAGUAUCUUUACUUGCUCGUCUCUCUUAAUUCAAUGACCGAAAAAUUGCAACGAUUACAUUUUCGGAUUCAUUAUAACUUCCUCGUCAUUACGAGUGCCAUCUCUCAUUUUCCAACUUUCCAAAAGUGGAAACCCUAGUUCAGUGCACUUUCUAAAUUUGGAAACUUCCCGAUUUAGAAAGUUCACUAAUACGUUCGCCUAUUCUUUUCCUUUUCUUAUUCUCAUUCAUAAUUCCAAAUUACGAAUGUUGGACUCAAUCAUAUUGACUUCCAAUCAUGCAAAGAUAAACUAUUUUAUCUCUGACCGUUUAUUCAAAGAUCUCAUGUGCACGAGCAGUGUGACCCUCGAUGGUUCGGGUGUAAGCUAGCCGUGGGCCCACAACCCUUUGUGGUCAAAACUCGUCCCCUUCGAGUUACGAUUAAGAUGAAGCUCGUUUCACCUUAAUCACCCAACGAAUCAAGAUUGGCGUCUAGCAACUACGCGUCAUGAUUCCCUAGAUACAAAUGAAGUGCCUGCAAGAACCUUCAGAUAUAGUUAACGUACAGUACGGUCCCUUCGAUACAUAUGUCCCGAUCGAACUAGAGGCAUUGGUUCAUCGAGACCUCUUUAUAUGUUCGAUGACGGUGCGAUCGUUCCAAGUGUUGUAAUCCUUACGUGCAUGACUUAGAGAAUCGAAUUCUCUAAUCAUCACUUAGUCAGCUCUGGCCAGAGACUUAGAAUGAUUACAAACUUUCAGAACACACAAGACAUCCAAGACUAUUCUAGCGAUCGAAUCCCCGACUACAAUGCACAGACCUCCCACUAGAUUUCGGACUGCACGAACACUGGCCCUUGGGAUGGUCCUCGGUGGAACUCAGGGACAGGUCACGAUACAGCUGGUCCUCUAGUUAAGUCACGGUGAUGUCUAGGUCAUAAGGACUAAUGGUGUACAACUAUACCAUAGAUAUCUCUACUCGAUUAUUGGGAACCACUUAGAGAUUUCUAGGGUGAGGGAGUUCAGUGAACUCGUCAACUUACGAGCACCCACUUAUGCAUGCCGAUAUCACAAUACCGUUUACUGAUGAGAUGCAGUACACAUACACUAAGUGCUAGUCUUAAUGGGAAAGGCCGAUAUCCUCAUUGGUGGCGUAACCCUUCGACUAGGAACACGUUUAACAGUUAUAAUACUUAAGUAAAUAUCUCACGAUCCUAACGAUCAAUUACUAGUACUUGUAAUAACUGUAAGGACUAUAUCUAUGCUUGUGACAAAGGGACAAAGAUAUAGAAUGCCAAGAUGUUUUAUCAUUAAUACGAAUAAAGGUUCGUUUAUUACAAUAAUAAAUACGAAAGACCACAGCCACAAGUUGGCUUGUUGGUCACCUACUCUAACAUCCAUAACAUUAGCCAAGUAUCCAACACAACCCUUAUUCAUCAUCUUUUGAGCCUUCAAUGCAGCUAUAAAUGGUAUUGAAGAUGAAAGUAAAUGACUACCAAACUCGAAAUGUUCUGCUGGAAGAUGACAACCAUCCGAUUACAAUUAAUCGUUGCAUAAUAUUUUGUAAGCCAAUCCAUGCCCAAAAUAGUCUCAAAAUUUGCGACCGGUAAAACAACUAGAUCCGCACAAAGUGUUCUACCACUUAUCUGAAUAGAACAAUGUUUCAACAUUUGGUUGGAAUUCAUCUCUUCCCCUGACGGAGUCGUCACAUUGUACAUCACAUCUAACGUAUCUGGUAUAAUGCCCAAUCUCCUCACCAAUGAAUGUGAUGCAAAUGAAUGCGUAGAUCCUGAGUCUAUUAAUGCAAGUGCUGGAGUUCCUAAAAUCAAAAUAGUACCUGAGACAACGGAUGCAUCUGCAUCAGCUUGUUCUUUAGUCAUUGCAUACACUCUCGCUUGAACUUUGACCGGUGGGGUGCGACAAUUCCUUGCAAUAUGCCCUGGCUUCUUACACUUGAAGCAACGAUUUAAACCGCUAUAGCAUUCACCAAAAUGAUUCUUCCCACAUGUGGCACACUUGGGCUUUUCAACUGUAGUAGAACUUUGUACAACUCUAGGGCGCUUCUCAUUUACUUGGCCGGAUUUUUGCUCUGGUUUCUUCCAUUGAGAUUGAGUUCUUUGAGUGAAAGUUUGCCUCUUCUGUUGAUGAAAUUUCUGAAUUUCCUUCUCAUCAAAGUCAGCCAUCAAUGCGCUGUCCACCACUUGUCGAAACUCGUUUGGAGAAGAGAUCCUUACAUCGUUUCUAAUAACUGGGUUGAGGCCUCUCAUGAAGUGAUCCAUCUUUUCUUUGUUAUCUUUAGCUAUGUAAGGUACAUACUUGCAACCCUCCUCGAAUUUUCGCACGUAGUCACAUACGGACAUUUCAUUCUGCUUCAAUUCUAAGAAUUCUUUAACUUUGAGUGACCGGACAUCCCUCGUGAAAUACUUGUCAUAAAAGAUUGUUUUGAAUGCCUCCCAUGUCAACUUCUCCAUAUCCACUGCAAGUUUUGUACCCUCCCACCAAGUUCUAGCUUUUUUCUUCAAUAGGAAAAUGGCACAAAGUACUUUCUCGGAAUCUUCGAUACGCAUGUAAUCAAAGAUGACAUCUAGAGAUUUAACCCAUUCUUCUGCAACCAUAGGAUCAGACCCACCAUAGAAAUCAACCGGUUCCAUUUUACGAAACUUCUCAUACACGGUAAGCGAGUUAUCAUGUCUAGCUUGUGGAGGAGGUUGUUGGUUUUGUUCGUGGGUUCGCUGUUGCAUAUCGAACAAUUUUUGUAUCUGUUCGCCAUGCAUUCUAGUCUGUUGCUGAAUCAAACCAGCUAAAUUAUCAACUAAGUUGUAGUCACCCUCGUGAUCAACAUUCCCUGUCUCAAAACCUAACAGCAGAAUCCAAUCAGAUCACCACCAUAAAGUUAGGGAUGCUAACCUUUUUAUAUACACUUAAACAUUAUGGUUUUAAUACAAAAAUAAGUUAUUCUCUUUGAAAAGAAAUCAAACUUUGUACUUUCUCAAAAUCUGUACAUAUAUAUAUAUAAAUAUUUAAUGUUUACAAAAUUACAUUGUACAAAAACCAUAAUAGAGCGGCUAACAAAAUUAAAUCAGAGUUUCUAGCUCGGCUACAAAAAUGGCUCGAAGCAUGGCAUAUGAACAAAUCUCUGACUGGCCGGUCUUGGCUAUGUCAACUUCUAAACAUGUACAUCAUUACCUGCAUCAUAAGCACCUAAUGAGCUAAUGACUCAGCAAGUUGAAACGGGUGUAAUAGCAAUAUAUCACAUAACACGUUAUUCAUUCAAUAUGUACAAUAUCACAUAUAACUUCAUUCGUGAUCUUUUUCUUUGAAAUCCUUCUCUUUAUCGGGUACCCUUGAAGUGUGGUACUUGACUGAUAGCAAUAGGCUUUCGUUUUCGGAACCUGUUCAUCACAUUUGGCCAAUAGAUAAUACGGGGUUUCCAUACCGGCCUUUCGACCUCAGGUAUUUGCCACCAUGUAUUGGGUCCGCCGGUCCCUCCCGCGUCCCUUGCCUACCCGACCAUCAAUCAAGUACCAUACUCCCAUUUUCAAAACAUCUUCUUUCAUAUCGCUAUGACUCAUCAAUCAUUCAAACAUCAUGAAGAACACGUAGCAAAAGUCACAUUAAAGAACACAUAAUUAGGUUCUUAUGAUGAGCAAAUGAAAG